rnacentral:rRNA from 1 species
GACGAACGCUGGCGGCGUGCUUAACACAUGCAAGUCGAACGGGCCUUGUCCCCUUUUUUUUGGGGGUGGGGUUAGUGGCGAACGGGUGAGUAACACGUGAGUAACCUGCCCCUCACUUCUGGAUAACCGCUUGAAAGGGUGGCUAAUACGGGGUGUUCUGGCCUGCUCGCAUGGGUGGGUUUGGAAAGAUUCGACCGGUUUUGGUUGUUUUGGUGGGGGAUGGGCUCGCGGCCUAUCAGCUGGUUGGUGGGGUGAUGGCCUGCCAAGGCUUUGACGGGUAGCCGGCCUGAGAGGGUGGGCGGUCACACUGGGACUGAGACACGGCCCAGACUCCUACGGGAGGCAGCAGUGGGGAAUAUUGCACAAUGGGCGCAAGCCUGAUGCAGCGACGCCGCGUGAGGGAUGGAGGCCUUCGGGUUGUGAACCUCUUUCGCCAGUGAAGAAGGUCCUGCUCUUUGUGGUGGGGUUGACGGUAGCUGGGUUAAUGAAGCGCCGGCUAACUACGUG